UGGGCACCGGAACACUUUGGGGGAAGAGAUGCCCACAGCACAAGUUGGGGAAAUGGAGACCGUACGUUUUAAAAAAAGAAUAACAACAAUAGAUCUUUACUCCCUCCCCCGCCCAUUACAAAAUAACACAUACUGUAGAAAAUCUGAAGUACAUUGAAAUCACAGAGGGAAAGUUAAAUUGCCCACAUAGUCACAAAUAACAGCUAUAAAAUUUUAAACGACGCUUUAAAGAUCUUUCCAAUUUACAGAUAUGGAAAUGGAACCACAAGAGAUAAUGAUAUACAGAGAUGGAGUGGAGGAGGCUGAGUCACCUGCAUGCCUUGUGGAGGGCCACUGCGACCCACUUGCCUGGUGACUUUUUAACUUAAGCUGUGAACCCCAGGCUUGCUAUUGCCCGGCCCCCAUCCCAAGAGCCCACCCCAUUGUGCUCCCCUGUGUGGGGGCGAUCCCUUUCAAAACCAACACAAUUAAGCAGUAUCAAAAUCAACUGUCAUUUAAAACCUCGGACUUCCUCAAGGGAAAAUAGGUCCACCUCAGGCUUCAAGGUCUCUUGCACGCCUUCACUUUAAAGACAAAUAUUGCCCGCAGAUUGGGGCAACGACCUUUUCUGCUGUGUUCCCUCCCCAUUGUGUAGCUCAGACUCGGGACUAAGAAAGCCGACAGUUGUACUUCCCUCCUACGCAACCCCGUUUGAAGACUGUGAGUUAGGGAAUGUUGGUCUUCAAGAUAUUCUUGGUUGUAGAUUUCGUUACAGGUUUGGCCCAGCAGAAGUGUGGGAAUCACCCUGGUUUGUUUGCAUUAACAAACAUUGCAAAAAUCCUCAGCAGAGUGAUGAGCAUGUUUUGAUGUGGUUUGUGCCUGAGGGUAGGAGUGGGAGGUGAGCUACUUGGAUAACGUCCCCAGACCUUGGACAUUUUUACCUGUGACCUAUACCUCCUACUUCCUAAAUAAUUGUCUUUACCUCUCCUCUAGUUCCCUUGAGGAGAUUCCCAGACAGGACAAGAAGCUUUUUGGCUGUGUGGGACCGGGGUUCAAACCAUUUGCCAAGUCACCAUCAAAUCAUUUUCAAGGGUACUAGAUGUUCAAGUCAAAAUUUGUACCAACUCUCUGUACCAAGGCCGUCGGGGUCCAUCAGGUCAGUAAUACCUCUCCCAUUAGCACGAAUCCUCCCUUUCUAUGACACAACUCUCUGGAAAGUCAUCUCCUCACAGCCAGGGACACUGAGGCAGAGAACCCAGAGCUCUGCCGAUAUCCAACGAUGACCGGCACUCUAGAGUGGAAACGCUGAGCGUUGGUUCAAGGCCAGUGUUUUGCUGGCCUCCCUUCAGUAAGCCAGUUUGUCUUUAGUUUAGUGGGAGAAAGUUGGGAGGGUCGCAGCGUGAGUGCAGGGAGGGGCUUGUUGCCUUUUCCAGUGGGUGUGUUUCUAGUUAGACACUGAUCCCAGCCAAAGCUGUCCACGGAAGCCACCCACCACUGUUCACGCUGUCAACUAAAAGAACAUAGCAAGGGCAAGGCUGCCUCUGGUUUUACUUCCUGCCCUGGAAAGGUUUCCAUCCCUUCCAUUUAUUCCGGUCCUGCUGGCUCUUCCCCCAGAACGUCUGUUGCUGUCUUAUGGGAUCCUCCGGCCUCCAGAAAUAUCACACUGCGGAACCCAGUUCAGACUCACACACGUGUUUUCCCGUCUUUUUGUAACUGCUGCUAUAUAACUCAUGGGCUGCUAACGUUCCUACGUGGAAUCAGUGUAUUCUACUUUAUUAGACUUCUGUGGCUUUCGCUUACCACACUGUGUGGGGUUAUAAGGGUGACGUCCUGGUUGACUUCAAAGGAUUGCUAAGGUUGGUCGGCAGAGGACCAUUGCCGACUGCUAAGAGGACUUGUAGGCGGGUCCUCUGCACAAUUUACCUAGUUGUCCAAGGUCCACCGAAGAAGUGUACUUGGCUUCUGGCGGUGGGGAUGAAAGAGCUCUACCGUCACAUGUAUUUGUUAUUGCUCUGCAGAGCUUAGGUGUUAUUAUUUCAGCUCUCUCUCGUCAGCAAAUGUUUGCUUUUGCUGUGUUCCUUUCUCUCUCUCUCUUACUGUAUAAAUGACACUGCCCUGGUAACCUUGGCCUUGUAAAGGCUCUCAACUGUUUCCAGUAAGGAAAUAAGGAAACUCUUGAGCAGUUGCUCUGAAGAUAGUCUAAACAAUUUCAGACACAAGGAACUAAGAACUAUUUUGAAGCAAUUUAACAUUUCAUCUUAACACCAGUUUUACGGUUGCGGUUGUUCACAUCUUAUGAAACACUUUGAAGAGUAAUUUGUCCUGUCAUUGUAUUUUUCUUUUGUGGUUGGGGAAGUCAUUGCACAAGCCUUUUCGAGAGGUUAAGUGAAACCAGCUGGCUUUUUUAAAAAAUCAGUUCCAAAGCCAGGGCUGACAGUGGUGUGGGUCCAACAGCGUUAUGUCCCAUGAGCCCGUGGUCCUUUACCUUGCACAUAUCCGUCUACAUUAACUAGCUCACACAAAGUUCUAUGAACUGGUAAACUUUGGCUACCUUUUAAAAUACCUUCUCCCUCUCCCAGAAUUAUGACCUACCUCUCUGUAAUGCCACUAACACCCAAACAAGAGAGAAAGAAAUUCCUCAGGAACCCACUCCAGUGGUGAGCUGGCCACAGGGGGAAAAGCAGGAUGUAAGCAAGCUCCCAGCUACUGCUCCAGUGCCGUGCCUGCUGCCAUAGUCCUGGCCUUGAUGUUUCUGGACUCACCCUCAGAAACUGUAAGCAAGCCCUCAAUUAAACGCGUUCUUCUAUACGUUGCCUUGGUGAUGGUGUCUCCUCACAGCAAUAGAACAGUAACUAAAAUAUUUGGAGUAAAGCUCAGUGGGUAGAACCUGGCAUGUGCAAGGUCCUAGGUUCUGUCUCUAGCCCUGAAUGGAUCUGCCCCUACCUUCUGGCACCCAUGAUAGGCAUGCCUGAAGAGGUGUCCCUUUAAAUAGAAGCCUCAUUAUUACUGUCCUUGAGCUAGGAGCAAUGGCUGUCAAGCCUCACUGAGUCUCAGAAUCAUCCAGGGUUAAGUCUAGGCCCAUUCCACACCUCCUAAAUGAGAACCACUCUUUAGGAACCUAGUGUGGGAGAGACAUGGAGAGUAUUUCAACUACUCUCAUAUCUCCCAAUUUAACUACUGAAAUUAACUAUAAGCAUUCAGAAAUUCUUACAGCUGACCUCCCUCUUCUUGGCUGUGCGUCAUCUCAAUAUUUGAGUAGAUGGUAAACUGAGAUAGUUUUAGAGAAAUGUUUGAAAGAUAAGUCUUAAUUUCUAAAAAUAAUUUUGUUUCUUUGGCGGUGCCGGGGUGGGGGUGGGGGGUUGACCAUUCUUGCCCAUGCCUUCUGAAGCCCCGUUAGAGGAGUUCUCUAGAGUAUGAGGUCUGGACCUGUUGGCUUACAGGAAGUGCGGCUGUCUUUCCUUGCAGGUUAACAUCAACAUUUUCUCCCAGGGGUCUCCAGUAAGGCUCCCUUUCGAACAGCAACAACAUCCCGGUUCUCUGCCUCAUCACCACUUGUACUGUCAACCUUGACCUUUGCCAGAGCUGUGGGCUCUGGUCAUCUGCGACUGCCAUUUCCACUUACAGCUUGUGCGACCUCUCAGGGUUAAAGGCCCCAUCUGAUCACUAUUUACUGUGGAAAAGUAUUUCCUGUUCCAACCCACAAUGGGAUUUGAAGUAUUUUCUUUUUGAGAGUUUGCGCUUGGCCUCUAAGCUAGCUUAGCUGCUCCCAUUGGUCACCGGAACAAUGAUGAAAGAUGGAAGGAAAGCUAGUUACGAGGAGCUCCUGUCUACGGCGUGCUUAAAGCAUGAUUAUUUUACUUCUCCAGAGCUCUUAGAAGUCAGAACUUGAUUUUGCAAUUAAAAUGGGUUAGUCAAUUAAGCACCCCACCCAUACCAAGUAACACUCAGUCUCCAGAUGGACACUAAGUGAUGGAUGGAAAGAGGAAGGAUGAUGGACAGACUACAAAGUGGAGAGAGAUUAUUAGACUGUGGACACUGUAUAUUGAUCAUGGUGUGCCGAGCUCUGCUUUUUCUUUGUCAUUUUAGUCUCUCUCAAAACUCUUUCUUUGAAACCAUAGUGGAAUUGGUUUCUUAUUUUGCAAUCGAGAAACAUUAACUAACUUGUCUACAGGGGUCAUGGGAGGGCUGAAAACUCUGUCUUUUAUCUUAGCUACAGGAAGGAGAAAAGGUAGCUUGUGAUUUCAUGAGCAUCAGGGUUUACUUAUGCCUCCAAAUAUAUUCUUCGUAUGCUCUGCUGAUGUCACAAAUCCCAGGCUUUCACUGAACCACCCAUCUGAAUCUUUGACUUAAUCAUCCAUCUUCACCUUUGAUGAAGAAGUAGUGUGAUGAAGACUGAAGAUCCUUACCAAAGUGACCUGAGCCAUUGCUGACCUCCUGUGGUUGCUCCAGCCUCAUUCUCUUGGCUUCUGGUAUGACAUGGCUUUCUUUUAAAAACCCUUGUGUCAGCUGGGCAGUGGUGGUGCACGCCUUUAAUCCCAGCACUUGGGAGGCAGAGCCAGGCGGAUCUCUGUGAGUUCGAGGUCAGCCUGGUCUACAGAGCGAGAUUCAGGACAGGCACCAAAGCUACACAGAGAAACCCUGUCUCAAAAAAACAAAACAAAACAAAACCAAAAAAAAAACCCUUGUCUUUUACUUGACAUUACUCAACAGAGGUAAUGGAAUAUACUCCUUUAAAGCUUUGUUCAGAUGCCAUUUGACAUUGAAGAAGUUGAAGUAUAGUCUGUGAGACCAGAGACCUUCACCUUUGACCACUGUGACAGCAAACAACACAGGCAGAACCACUAACUCACAACGACAGCCAUGCAUGCACACUGUUCUGGAACAUGCCUCAUAUGACUCAAGACUAAAAGAUCGAAAUAUCUGCUUCACUCGGGUCUAUGCUAUACCGACCGGCUGCCAGUGGCCAGACCAGAGCCUCAUUCCUGCAAGGUUUGCCAGGCAGAGGUGACGUCAUGCUGGAGUUCUGAUACUUUGGCCCUGCCACAGAAUUGAGCAUCAGUCAAUGGGUAAUCCAGGACUUAAAAAUAUGAAGUGUUGCCCUUUUCCUUUUAGUUCUGCAUUUUUUUGAGCUUUCCUAAAGGUCCUAUUCAGUUCGCUGUUUCCCAAUAUUUCUUCCUUUACGUUUGCUUUCUUCUUGCCUUAGAAAUCCUGCUGCUCUAAGACAUAUAGUGGAAUUAAGAACAAAAUGGGGAGAUGAUUCUGUUGGAAAAGUGCUUGCUGACAAGUCUGAGGACCUGAGUUCAAAUCCCCAGAACCCACGUAAAAAGCCAGAUGUUGUGGCACACACUUGUGAUCCUAGCAAUGGCAAGAUGAGAGGGAGGUGGAGACACGCAGACCCCUGUAAGCUUGCUGGCCAGCUAUCCUAAUCUACCUGGUGAAGUUCCAGGCCCGUGACCAACACUGUCUUAACAGAAGAUGGGAAAUACCUGAAGAAUGAAACCCAAGAGUGUCCUCUGACAUCCACGUGUGUGUAUGCACACGCACACACACACACACACACACACACACACACACACACACACACACUCACACAUACAUUUGUACACAUGAAAUGCACACACACAAAUUUCAAAGUGAAAUGUGAGUUAAUAUGGUAAAAAAAAAAAUCAAAUUCUCUGAAAUCUCCAACGCUAAGCAUUGGAAAGCUCACUUUGCUCACUCCUAUGAGGAGGAGACACACCACAGUGGAGUGGUCACACCUUACCCAACUCAGUGUUGUGGUAACCUCCCAUGCUGUGUUCACAACAUGGCGCUUACUCACAACUACAAAGUGUUUCUUGUGUGGUAUGCUACUGCUCUUUAAAUGGAUGGGAGCUAAGGGUUCAGCAAAGUCUCUCCUGGUCCGACAACUAGAGAGGACCAUUUAUGUCUCACUUUAUCUGGGGUCCAGUCUCUCCUUUGUAGUCUUUAUGGAAAGGUAAAGCCCAAUGGUGGAACUUAGAACCUUUCUUUAAAAGUCAAAUGCCGUGGCUGUAGCUUCAUUGUGAGUAGAUGGUGGUGGAAGCCGAUGGGUAGAGCGAUGCUCUCAUCUUCAGUGAGCCUUCUGGACAUUACCCAUCGAGUUGUGCUUCAUUGUAGAUACUGUAAAAACUGCGUUUCUACUCAUUCCUCACCGCUGGUUCCUUGCUCUCUCUUCCUUCCCUUUUAUUUAUGAGACCACAUUCAUAGCAUGGAGGAGGAGGCCAGGGAGACAGAUAAAAGGGCUAUCUGCACAAGGCUGAGGACUUCAGUCCUAUCCCCAGAACCCAUGUUUUACACCAAAGGCUGAUGUGGUGACGUGCAUCUUAACUCCAACAAUUCUAUGGCAGGAUGGGAAAUGGAGGCAGACGCUUCAAAUCUCAAGGUUUUUAAGGGCACAGUGGAGCUUCAAACCCAGAAAGCCCGGCUUCUCCAUCCACAUUCUUAACUACCACACCGUAUUUGCUCUGUACUGAGUAGCCGAGUGAACAGACGACCCUUGUCGGGUAGUUGUGUAAAAGAGGAAAUAGGACUAAGUGAUGCCCUGUGUGCCUGUGGCAUGACCCAGCCCACUGGAUGACUCUGGAAAAUCAGCUCACACCACCAGCUAGGUUGGCUCCCCUACCUCACAUGCUCUUCUUUCAUUGGUGCAGAUAUGGCUGAGAGAUGACAUUGGUGAUGCAUAUGUCAUACAAAUGAGAACGAGUUGCAGCGUUCAACAGAAUAGAGUGGAAUGCUUACCUUUGGUGAGAGCAACAAGGGCUUAUCUGUUGCUACAAUUCCGUCCCUGGAUUGUACAUUUGUAUUGAACCGAUCAAGGAAGUUCCUGAAACUUACGUUGCAAAGGUUUAGAUUUUUUCUAUAUCAUCUUCAGAAAACAGGAAGAUGUUAUUAAAAAAAAAACAAAAGAAAACUACCAGAGGGGCGGGUGUCUGGGAAUGACUUCCAGCCGUGAGUCAACCAUUAGUUGACCCUUAACAUACAAUUCUUCUCACAGACACCCAGUUCUUUUCACUGAAGGCCUGCCUAGCUGUUUCAAUCUUGUACGUGAAGCACCAGGAACAGGAGAAGAUCAUAAUAAAGCUUUAGGCUUCUCUGAGCAUGCCGUGAAACAAGCGACGAGUUCAGCCAAUCUUUUUGGAAAUAAAUGGUCAAGAGUGAGAGGGAGAUCCGCAUGAGUAAGCAAUCUGCCUUUUAUAAUGAUGUUCACGAACUCAAAAGUUUUCUCCAGGAAGAUUAUAAACUGUAGACUCCCAGGCCAAAUCACAACAGGGGGCAUAGCUAAAACACUGCAUGAUUGCAACUACCAAAGGAAAUUAUCCUGUUGAAACAGCCCAGUGAAGCCAUUUGCUUAUUUGGAACACAAAUGCUUUUCUAAAAGGCCAUUUUAAUUAAAAACUGGAUCGGCAAAUGAGAUUUUGGUGUAGCUAGUGAUGGGACUUGCAAGAAACUUUUGAAGAUUUGGGGGUUUAUAGCACAAUUCUUAUUAUACUCAUACCUAGAAAGUCCCUAAAGCAUUAUCAGGUGUUUUGUGAAUUCAUAAUCGUUGUUUUUUUUUUGUUUUUUCGAGACAGGGUUUCUCUGUGUAGCUUUGCGCCUUUCCUGGAACUCGCUUUGGAGACCAGGCUGGCCUCGAACUCACAGAGAUCCGCCUGGCUCUGCCUCCCGAGUGCUGGGAUUAAAGGCGUGCGCCACCACCGCCCGGCGUGAAUUCAUAAUCGUUAAACCUGUACUGGGCCAUGAAAAGAGGGCCAGGGGAGGAAGAGAGUGGACACAGGUUGUCUGAGACACCGUUAAGUAUGCUGUUAACAGCAGUGAUAACGAGAAGGCCGGGUAUCUCUGCAUCUUCCUUUCCUUUUCAUCCAACCAAGACAUCCAAGAGAAGGGCACAGGUUGUGACUUUGUGUCACAUUCUCUUAGCAAGCCACCAAGUGGCACUAUCGGAUAAGGACAGUUUAGUCGCUGGGAGGGUUCUUGGCAGCUAGAGAAAAGCAGAAGCCAUGGGCUUUGAGUAUGUAGCAUUCAUUACAGAGAGAAUGCUCGUGCAUCUGGAUUGAGUAAAUUGUACAAGAUACAUUUUAAAUCCUCCUUCCUGAAUGAAAAGAUUAACCAGUGUGGAGUGAUGGGCAGGACACUGGCAGGGGGGUCAGAGGGUCAAUUCCAUUUUAAACUCUCCACCCAGUCCUCACAGGACCUUGGCUACGUCCUUUAACUUAGUUGAAACUUGGUUCUCUUCACAGUAAAGUAUGUCUAAAACCCAGCUGGCGCAGACAGGCAAGGAGCAAUGGCCAGUGGUGACGACGCCCGUGAGACAAUUCAGAAUAGUGUAAGAUGACACACGUUUCCACAGGGUCAUAAUUAUGUCUUCAUCCACAAAAGCAAGGUUUGGACCGGAGGAUCUGGAGAUGGUCUCUGUUCUAGAGUCCUGGUGAUCUGAGUAGUGCAGAUAUUAAGAGUUUACUGUUAACACUAAUGGGAGAAAGAGACCUACCUAGUCUGAGGCCUACAGAGGCCUUGAUUUGAUGAAUAUGAUGUACCAAAUUCCUGCUCCAAAGGACUGCUGAGUGGCCUGAGACACAUCGCAAUAUCAGGUGCUUUUUCAUAUUCGGCCUGUUAAAUUAAGGCAGCCAUAUAAUUUGUCAUCUAAGCUAGAACACUUUGGUAUAAAAGGGAUGCUCUUAAUAAGCACGCCUCUGUAAUAGGCUACAGCAGACACAUCCCAAGCAAACUGGAGCAUCUGGUCCCCUUAUUAUCUGUCAGAUGUGUCACUUAGGUAUGGGACAGGAGCUCCUAUGGGACUUCAUCAUCUCUGCUGCUUUGUGGAAUAGCAAGACGCAGGCCACAUUAAGGAGGAUGAGGCUUGCUUUGACUCUUUUUUUUUUUUUUUUUUUCGGUUUUUCGAGACAGGGUUUCUCUGUGUAGCUUUGUGCCUUUCCUGGAUCUCACUCUGUAGCCCAGGCUAGCCUCGAACUUACAGAUAUCCACCUGCCUCUGCCUCCCAAGUGCUGGGAUUAAAGGCAUGCGCCACCACCGCCCGGUUCGCUUUGACUCUUAAGGAAGAGUAACACGGAAACUCUGCGGUUAAAGGUGAGAAGACAUUCUGUGGCGUCACAUCUCCUGAAAGCUGGUUUCUUUUGCAGUUUAUAAACAUUUGUCUGGGAGGAAGAGUAAGGCCAGCUCAGGGUCUCUGCUCACUGUGGGACUAAGAGCAUGUGUGCUAAAGCUUAGCAAUUGCAGAUAUCCACUACUUCUCAAAGAAAGUGAGUCCUGACACCAAGCGUAAACAAAGGGCUCAAAACAUUUCAUCCCAGAGAAUUCUAUGGGCAUCCAUGUGCUUAGGGACCUCCAGACCAGAGAAUAAAAGACUGGUGUUAUCUGUGAAAUGCACAGAACGAUCAAAGUCAUCUUUAAAAAACAUUUGAAGUUCAUUGCACCAAUUACAGAUUUUUCAUGAGACAAAAAUUCUCAUAUUCCCUGAAGAGAAUCAUUAAAGCUAAAAAUAUUUGUAUGACUGAGCUUGGAAACAAAUAACAAACAGAUCAAUUUUCUGCAGUUUGAUAUGAAAAAAAAGUCCCAAAAAUGCCAAAAAUUGCAACUAAUGAAUUUCUUUAUAUGUUUUAGAGUAUGUUAUUAAAUGUAGUUGCUCAUUUAAUUCUUGAAUUAAAUUUGUUUAGAAAAGUAUUAAUUAGCUUUAUUAGAUCUAUAGCUUGCACGUAUGGUGAUAUGUUUAUCACACAGAAGUGUAAGAAUGAUCAAAUGUAAAAGUGGAUGACAGAAAUCAGCUUGGUAAUUUAAAAUAUAUAUAUAAUAAAUGUAAUUUAUACAUGGACUAUGGAGAAUGAAAUCAAUAAACUUGUCUUGUGUUCUGUAGCCAUUUGGUCACUUUCAAAUAUUAAAAAUUAGAGUUUCUUUCUGAAAA